rnacentral:lncRNA from 1 species
CACGCCACUUGGAUCAUAGAUUUUCCGGGGAAAAAUCCAAAAGAAACCGAAACCAAACAAAAAAACCUUGCACAUUGCGUAGCAUCACACGGCAGGGGAACUGGAAGCCUUUACUAUUUCGCAAAAAUUUACCCUCACCUAACUGACCGAACUCCCACGAAAAUAAUCGAUUAACCUCAACAAACCUGAUAAUUAACAGAUUAACCGCCACAAUCGCAUCACAAAUAUUGAAAACCCCACUGCUACACUUCGCACAACACAAAUUCCAAAAAAGGAAACUGAUCGGAGAAUCUGAAAAUCGCGACGAAGGAAACAAAAAGAGAUCUAUACAGAAACCUGUCAUUCUGAGGGUGGAGGAGGAGGCUCUGGUGGAUAGGAAGAGGAAGUAGCGGCGGCGGCGGAAGAGGAAG